AUAACUACAGCUCUGGGGAAGUCUGGAUAUAGAAGAGUGCCCAUUGGAAUAUUAAUUAAGGUUUUAAAGUCCUGCCAUUAAUAAUGAGAACACUGAUGUUGGGCAGCAUUAGUUCAACUGUUUCUUACUCUACAGAUGAGGACAUCUAGCUCUGGAAAAGGCAGGCAAGAAAGGAGGGAAGGCUCUUAACCCUAGCAGAUGGUUGACCUGCGCUGCCUCACGUGUGGGUAUGUCCUCAUGACAUUGGACUGUCACAUCAGACUGGAGAUUCGGCUGUGAUGAGAAGAGCCUUAAAGCAAGCAGCUGCAUCUCAGACGAGACCUUCACAACCACUGUGCAGAAGUCUUUGACCUCAGUAGAGCAGCAUGCAGUACUCUUCCGUAAUGAGGUGUAUGUUCUGCGGUGUGUAAUAGAGACAUUUUCUCUGCUGAGAAGACUGCUACACAAAUCAGGAAAAAGGAAAUUCAAAAGGACUCACUUCCUUUGCUCCUUUGUUACCCCAACCCUACAUUCCUCUAGGUAACCAUGCUGAGCCCAAAAAAGAAGACAUCUAUGAGUGAAAAAUAGAAUCGGAGAAAAAGCAGUAUGUCAUCUCUGUGCCUGUUAAAUUAAAUAUAAGCAAAUGAUGAACAAAAAUUGUGAUUCAUUAUGCAUGCUAUGACAAAAAGAAUAAUUUAUAAAUUCCAAUUAAUCUGUUAUUUCUUCUGUAAUAAUAAAAUGAAUCAUCGGCUUUUAAUUUUCCA
rnacentral:lncRNA from 1 species